rnacentral:rRNA from 1 species
AACUGCUGCACAAGGAGUGUUCGAUUGGACUCCUUUUCACACAAUGAACAACCAGCUUAGAACUGAUGCGGGCAAGGGGAAUCCGACUGUUUAAUUGAAACAAAGUAUUGCGAUGCCCUGAAAGGAUGUUGACACAAUGUGAUUUCUGCCCAGUGCUCUGAAUGUCAAAGUGAGGAGAUUCAACUAAGCGCGGGUAAACGGCGGGAGUAACUAUGACUCUCUUAAGGUAGCCAAAUGCCUCGUCAUCCAAUUAGUGACGCGCAUGAAUGGAUUAAUGAGAUUCCUACUGUCCCAAUCUNCUGUCCAGCGAAACCACAGCCAAGGGAACGGGCUUGGGUGAGUCAGCGGGGAAAGAAGACCCUGUUGAGCUUGACUCUAAUCCGACUUUGUGAAAUGACUUAGGAGGAGUAGGAUAUGUGGGAGCUCAGGUGAUCUUGAAAUACCACUACUUUUAAUGUCACUUUACUUACUCUAUCCAACUGUGCCCUGCCUCACAGCAGGUUUUUGCUUUUAAGGUUGCUCUUUUGGCGUGUUGAUUUGCGUAGAAGACGUCGUCCGGUGGGGAGUUUGGCUGGGGCGGCACAUCUGUUAAAGGAUAANGCAGGUGUCCUAAGGUGAGCUCAAUGAGAACAGAAAUCUCAUGCGGAUCAAAAGGGGAAACGCUUGCUUGAUUUUGCUUUUCAGUGUGAAGAUAAACUGUGCAAACAUGGCCUAUUGAUCCUUUAG